AUUGAACGCUGGCGGCAGGCUUAACACAUGCAAGUCGAACGAGUGGCGGACGGGUGAGUAAUGCUUGGGAAUCGAGCUUAUGGAGGGGGAUAACUACGGGAAACUGUAGCUAAUACCGCGUACCAUAGGAUGAGCCCAAGUGGGAUUAGGUAGUUGGGGAGGUAAAGGCGCACCAAGCCGACGAUCUCUAGCUGUUCUGAGAGGAUGACCAGCCCCACUGGGACUUAGACACGGCACAGACGCCUCCUGUAGGCAGCAGUGGUGAAUAUUGGGCAAUGGGGUCCACCUGACGCAUCCAUGCCGCGUGAAUGAAGAAGGCCUUCGGGUUGUAAAGUUCUUUCGGUAGCGAGGCGUUAACUACAGAAGAAGCACCGGCUAACUCCGUGCCAGCAGCCGCGGUAAUUC
rnacentral:rRNA from 1 species